UACGUAGGGUGCAAGCGUUGUCCGGAAUUAUUGGGCGUAAAGAGCUCGUAGGCGGUCUGUCGCGUCGGCUGUGAAAUCCCGAGGCUCAACCUCGGGUCUGCAGUCGAUACGGGCAAACUAGAGUAUUGCAGGGGAGACUGGAAUUCCUGGUGUAGCGGUGAAAUGCGCAGAUAUCAGGAGGAACACCGGUGGCGAAGGCGGGUCUCUGGGCAUCUCCUGACGCUGAGGCGCGAAAGCGUGGGGAGCAAACGGG
rnacentral:rRNA from 1 species